UUCAAAGGAUGUCUUCAGAGUGGUAUUUUCAGUCACAGGCCACAGCCAUGGUAGCGCUUAUUGGCCUUACUGUGUGUGUAGUCUUCUACACCAGCUUCCUUCUUUCACUGAGGUACCUAAACAAGACUGAAGAACCAUCAGACGCAGCAGAGAUGCAAGACCUGAAUUCAUGAAAAAUGGCUGUACAUUUGAAGAUUAACAUUUGAGAGAAUUUGUCACUCAGAAAUGCUCUGAUUGUGAAAUGCUUAGAUUAUUACAUUGCGUUAAUGUGUGUGACAGUGUGGCUGUCAUUAUGAAAUACUGUAAAAUGACAGACACACACACAGUGUUACGCAUAUGAAGGAGACUGUAAAUAAAUUCAUGUUCUGAAGUGUAUUAAACAAUAUCUCAUGUGUCAUGA